UAUCAAUAGCGUAAUAGUUAAAUCAAAUUUGUAUGGGGUUGGAACGUUUGCCUACGUUUGCCGCUAGGGGCGGUGUUCCAACUGCAUACAAAGAGUUACUUUUACGCUAUCGA
rnacentral:pre_miRNA from 9 species